UACGUAGGGUGCAAGCGUUAAUCGGAAUUACUGGGCGUAAAGCGUGCGCAGGCGGUUGUGUAAGACAGAUGUGAAAUCCCCGGGCUUAACCUGGGAACUGCAUUUGUGACUGCACAGCUGGAGUGCGGCAGAGGGGGAUGGAAUUCCGCGUGUAGCAGUGAAAUGCGUAGAUAUGCGGAGGAACACCGAUGGCGAAGGCAAUCCCCUGGACCUGUACUGACGCUCAUGCACGAAAGCGUGGGGAGCAAACAGG
rnacentral:rRNA from 1 species